UGCGAGUAUCUAUGGCAAUUCGGUCAUCACUAAAACUCGUUCAAUCCUACAUAGACGCAAACAGUAGGUCCGCGAUUUGUCUCGGAAGUACUAAUAGUAGUUGGCCUUUAGUUUUUCUCGAAGCUAGCUAGUAAAAGUGAAAACGCUACCUCAGAAUACGCCUUGCGUGCGCGGAAACGUAAAUCUAGAUCCUAGAAAAGGGGCAGGGAAAACGAAGGUGUCGUCCCCUACCCCUAUCCAAACAGAUCGCCCCACCAAAUGACGCCGCCAAUUUGAUCCUCCGAUGGAUCCGCCGACGGCAGAAGCGGCGAGUGCGGCACGGCGGCGCGGGAAUUUCCGAGCAAGGCGUGCAGCUGGGAAGACCAUGCCGCUCGAUGAGCCCGCUCCCGCGCGCGGUGGCUCGCUCAGGCAGGCGGGCGGUCGGGCUCGACGGGGGGAAUCCAGCGAGGGCAGUUAUAUCGCACCAUUCGCGGAGGAUAUUUAGUCCCACAUCGCCAUUUCAGACGGAAUCCGCGUCCUAUAAAUCCGCACCAUUCGCGGAUUGCCUCGCCGGGCCUAGUAGCGAAGGCCUGUAACUCCAGCUUCGGAGGGUAGAGUUGGCGAGGGUAAGGCUCGGCUCAUGCGUGGGCGUCGCCGGCAACGGUGGCGGAGCCGAGCUCGGGUUGAGGGGUGCGCAGCCUUCUGAGUUUGAGCCUAGGGUCAGGGGGUACGCCCCAUGUCCCGCGUGCGUGUAAGCACUCUACUCAAACGAGCCCCACCGUAUCAGUAAAUUAUACGGUUUCAGGGAGGGACACGACCCAGGGGCCAAGCGUUGUAUCCCGGGUCCGGUGGCCAAGGCCACCGGGUUGGCCUUCGGCCGAGCCCCUCAGUACUACUAACACUACUAACGGGGCUUUCUCUCGAAGAGAGGGAGUUCCACUAACCUUAGUACUCCUCUCCUAGCUUGGCCUUUCCCUCUCGGGGGAGCCUUGGGUUCCUUGGAAUAAAGCGCACUCCUUGACACCUCUCGCCAGCUCUUUUGUGGAGCAAAGAAAAUUGAUUACCUGUUCUCUCAAAUUUGAACUAAAAUCACGACAAAAAUUUAGGAUCGGAGCAAGUACAAAAUUACGUUUAGUAAAGAGAUGUUUGGCUUAUCUCUUUCAAGAUCAUAAAAAAAUAUGAUGCUUUGGAAUCUAGAUCACGUAGACUAUUCAUCUGUCCAGCAAGGUGACAACCAGACUCACUUCAAUCUUAAUGGCUGUGAAUAUUCUUACUCACUAUGACUAUUUUCAUUUGGCAAGCAAGGCUAAUUUGAAUCCAACUUAUUUGUUAUUCAAACCUAUAUGUUUUGGAUUUAAGCUCAACUUCUUUAUCAGGUACUAAUUUGAAUUCAAAUUCUUGAAUAUUACCAAUGUUUGCCCAAUUCACUGGCUAGUUAAAGCUUACAUGUUGCUUUAGAUUAAUCAUGCUAAUGAUUUCUGUAUGCUUCACUACUCACUAGAUGAAUCUUCUGACCUGGUAGUUAAUCUUAGUUAUUUUGGCUGUGUGUGUAUAUAAAGUGAAGACAACUGGACAAUUUAUUGUGCUGGUGCAUGCUUACUUUGUAGUGUCUUGUCCAUAGCUGCCUGAACUUGUUUCCUUAUGUAACUUUAUGCUCCUUGUAAAAGAAACACUAAUUUAUCUGAAAUAUGCAGGUAUUAGUGUCUGUCUAUAAAAUGCCCGUGGUAAUAUUUUUGUUUUUUCGUUGUGUUUUCUCCCGUAUUGUCUGAUGAUGGUUUUUCUUUUCUGCCAGAAGAGUUCCUAUCAGUUUAUGUUGGCAAUCUUUCGCUGUCUACUUCUGUCUUCGAUAUUGAGAAAAUCUUCAGGCGUUUGGAAGAAUUAAACCUGAUGGAGUUGUUAGACGGAGUCACAAGGUUUCUUGCUUUCUAUCCACUGCUUUCAUUCCUGUUUCUGCUCUUGGCUUCCUAACCAUACUAAUACGCAGGUGGCUGGAAUUUUCUUUAGCUUUGUUGAGUAUGAAGACAGGAUUAGUGUCCAUGAUGCUUAGUGUGAGAUUCUCAACUUCUCGUAGUGUGGCAUGCUGGUUAAUUAGUUAUUAUAGCUUAAUCUGGGCAGAGAGCCCUGGAAUCAAAAGAAAAAGGGUAGAAUUUAAUUCAAACAUAGAUAAUCGAGAACUCAUCAUUAUUUGUAAGAGCAGGACUUGUCGGUGCUGCUGCCUACUGAUUUCCUAUCACAGGUCAAAGCAUGCAAAUGGGGAGCAUUAUGUACUGACAAUGCCGAAGCACUUACCGAGCUGCUCUCUUGUCGACGCUAUCAAGACCUAGCUCAAGAGGCUCUUCCUAGAUAAGGUAGUGGUGUACAAAGAGAAAAGUGCAAACUUCGUCACGUCAUCGUCAGUACACGAGAUUUUGUUGCUGGAAAUCUGUAGGGAAUGGAAGCUACAGAAUUACGUUCAGUAGAGACUUCAAUUCAUCUGUCGAGCAAGGUGACCACCUGACUCAACCAAGCAUUUGUCAAUCUUAAUGGCUGUGAUCUAAGCUUCUGUUCCUUCGCUGAAUUUCAUUGUCUAUAAAUAUUCUCCACCGGAUUGCAAGAAGUCAAAAGCAACUAUCUUUUUGAGAAUAACCGGGGGAGAAGCCCCACCUGAAUUAUAUUAAGGAUAAUAACAAGGUCAUACACAAGGUUAUACAGAGACAUAUCGGGAGAGUAAAUAAGCGCACCAAGCAGUGGCGUCAGCUUUGAGAGAACAGAUUUGGAGCGAUGGAGCCAAGUGUGAAAUCAGCAACAAUGCGGUUUAUCAUGGUCUACGUCUUGAAUGUAUUUACUGGUAUUUCUACUGAUACCCUUAUUGAGUAAGCCUUAUUCUUAAUUGAACAAAUGUUAACGUCUAGAGUAGCUGCUUUAUGUUGGGUAGCCUAUAAAAUUCAUCAGUGGUGUCAGGUGUUAUCUCUCUGUAUUUACUACUCCCUCCGUCCCAUAUUUCUCGUCGUAGUUUUAGUUCAAAAUAACUAUGACAAAAUUUAUGGGACGGAGGGAGUAAAAUAUUAUGUAGGAUUCUAUGUUGCCUCUGCUGGGUAUCAGGAGCACACCAGAGCUAGCGAGGGUCAGAUUCAUCAAGCUGCAUGCAAACUAACAGCUCGUUU